UCUCGAAAAAGGCAAACCAAGCGAAAGCUUGGGACGCAAAGCUACAGGGGCUUACGCGCGAUGAGCGCAAGCCAGCCAGCUGCCGAA
rnacentral:ncRNA from 1 species